GCAGACGUUGCAGUUCAGUCUUUACGGGGGUGACAAUGAACCUGCAUGACUUAUUUUAAGUCACCAACACCUGCCAAUGAGCGCGGUCAUCUUGGAAGCUCUCAACUGUCUUGGAGCAUUAAGGCAGUCAAGCUGCAUUAAUCCUGUUGGGACCCACCUCAGAUCUCAUGUCCCAUUAGCCCCUCUGAUGACAAUCUCCAGCCUUCAAGCGUCAACUCGGAGUCCUUCAGAACCAAAGCCGAACUCUCCCGAGAGAGCUGUGGUCCUGGGGUUGGAAACCAGGCCUGCCGAGAGAGAGGGGGUUGGCUCCCACGGGUGGGUGUUAGGGUCCUCUGCACCUGUCCUUCUGCCUGGACUGGAGGCAAAGCCAACCUGGGCUGCCCCUCAGUCUUUGCAGAACUCAAUGCUCGUGCUUUCAAUAGUGUGAAAACAGGCAGGUUGGUGGUGCCCAGGCUGAGACAGAAAAACAACUUGGUGGUUUGACAGAACCUUCGAGCAGCCACCACGAGGCCACUGCUGCUUCUCCUCUUCCCUCUCCCACUCGUCCAACUGUCCUGAGGAAAAUCUCACCCUCCGUUUGUCCUCUGCGGGCCUGUCAUUCUGUCCUCUGGCUGCAGGGAAAGGACGCUGUCCGCAUUUCCACAAACAGCUCGAUGCAGGGGCUUUGUGGAGGGGCCUUUCUUAUCUGGGCUCUCCUUUCUCAGAACAAUGUUCAGGGCCAGUUCCAAUUUGGGGAUUAAUCUAACCAAAGGACAGAAUCUACUCCUCUGCACAGAGAAUGCUCUCUGGUCCUUUGUUUAUCUGUCUUCCUCCCACCCCCUCCCUGUUUCACCCUAAUCUUUGGAGCUUAAAAAGGCUUAGAAUGCUUCUUAGGCAUGGAAUCGUUUUUAUAAGGCAACUAUUGAUGAGCUAAACAGAAAUGACUUCCAAACAGCGUGUGAACUUUCCUCCAUGACUGCAUUGCCGGAUGCCAAGCAAAAGGGGAAGAAGAGUCUUCCUAUUGUCCUAUGUCAUCAGAGAUCUAAUUCCUGGGAGAAGGCUGACCAUCAGGAUGUUCACAUAUGGAACGUUGAGCCUGCCUUCAAGGCUGCGAUGCAGGGUAGCCUUCUCCAUUCACCCAAUUGGUGACAAUCAGCUCAGUGGUCUCACCCCAGCGCAGACCGAGCCCUGGGCACUCUGACCACAGCCUGAGAGGAGAGCUACUUCCUUUCGCAUCAUCCUACUGCUGUCCUUCCAUCGAAUCACAGCAAAAUUCUAUUAUAAUGAAAAGAUUCUAUUAUAUUAGAAUCACAGCACUCCAGUUGCCCCUCGCAGUUUCAACCCUACUUUCACAGGCGUUCUCUCAUUUGCUGCUUACCACAAUGCCCUGAGCUCUCCGUCUGCUUCCAGCCUCCCAUUUCCAGCUGCCCUCAGGAAAUUGCCACUGGAUGUCCCCAAGGCACCUCCAACGCCACGAGCCUGAAACAAAGCACAUCCUCUCCUCUGUGCCGAGACCCCCUUCCUGCUGAAGGCGCCCUUAUCCUCCCAGCCCGUGGAGCUCCAGGUCAGAAGCAGCUUUGAUGGCACCUCUUCCUUCCUUCCUGAUGUGCCAGGAGUCGCCAAGCCCACAAAGCUUCCUUCCCAGUCUCGCUGGGGUUCGUCUCCCGCAGCACCUUGGCCUGAGUUCCAGCCCUCCUCCCCUCUCCUCAGGACUCAGGCCCCUUUCCAGUGCGCCCGGCACUGGCUGCCAGAGACAUCUGGCCACUGCAGGACUCUUACCACAUACCCGCCCAACAAGCUGCGGUGAUUCUCUUCGCCUACUGCUGCAAGUCCAGGGGCCCCGUAAAGCAGCCCCUCUCUGACUUCCUUUCCUGUCAGAUCUGUCUUCUCACCCAUCAUUCAGUUUCCUGUGCUCCCUCUGGCUAGAAUGCCCUCCCCCUUCGUGUAUCCAGCCGUAACUACCCAUGAGUCAAGACCUGGAAAGGUAAAUUCCAUUGUAUGCUGUUUUCCCACUCUGCUUAAUAAAUAUAACAGCCCGGAGCUCUCUAAUGAGAACUCUGAGAUUAUUUGCAUGGUCUAUGUGAAAGAGAGCCAUGAUUGAUUGGUGAUGUCUCCCAUGUCAUGGGGUUGAUGUCGUCAUGGGUGUAGGAGGGAGAAAUAGUUGACUAGUGAUGUCUGCCAUGGGUAAAGGAGGGAGCCAUGGGUAAAGGAGGGAGACACAGAAGUAAGUUGCUUUGUCUUGAG
ensembl:lncRNA